rnacentral:rRNA from 1 species
UUUUAUAUGAGAGUUUGAUCCUGGCUCAGGAUGAACGCCGGCGGUGUGCCUAAUACAUGCAAGUCGAACGCGUUGGCCCAAUUGAUUGAUGGUGCUUGCACCU